rnacentral:rRNA from 1 species
AACGAACGCUGGCGGCGUGCCUAACACAUGCAAGUCGUGCGAGAAAGUUCCUUCGGGAGCGAGUAAAGCGGCGCACGGGUGAGUAACACGUAGGUAACCUGCCCCCCAGUCUGGAACAACUGGAGGAAACUCUAGCUAAUGCCGGAUGAGACCACGAUCCCUUCGGGGGUUGCGGCCAAAGAUGGCCUCUACUUGUAAGCUAUCGCUGAGGGAUGGGCCUGCGGGCCAUUAGCUUGUUGGUGGGGUAACGGCUCACCAAGGCUGUGAUGGCUAGCUGGUCUGAGAGGAUGACCAGCCACACUGGGACUGAGACACGGCCCAGACUCCUACGGGAGGCAGCAGUGGGGAAUAUUGCGCAAUGGGCGAAAGCCUGACGCAGCGACGCCGCGUGGGUGAUGAAGGCCU